rnacentral:lncRNA from 1 species
CAAGUUUCAAAGCAUUUAUGCUCAGCACUGUCAUAUUGCGAAGCUGACACGAUAAUUUGAUAUUUGACUGGCAAGGGUUCGUUUGAUUACAGAAUUUUGAUGUUACUGAAGCAUAACCACGAGUGGCAUGCAUUUCUCUCAAGUGUUUCAGCCAAGCGUACUUUCCCAACAACACACGCACAUUGGUUCGCACAAAGGUCUGUCAAAGGUCACUG